UAAUUGUAUAUAUUAAAAUCUAUCAUAAAGUUAAUUAUACAUAUAGAGUUUAAGCUUACAUAUAAUUAAGGAGGUGCUUGGUUCAAGGAACAUAAGGUUACAUUUCAUAAAAGCAGUGCCUCAGAAGCGGGUGUUCAUCUCAUUAUCAAGGAGCAGGAGGGCUUGAAUAUCUAGCGAAUGACCUUGAUAACCGAAGGUGUCGCUCCUCUGAUUGGGGAUAGAUGGUCAACCAAGGCGUUAUCUCAAGUGGAGUCAGAGGGAGAUCAACACCUUUUGUCCUGUUAACACUUGUCCAAAUCACAAGUUCAAAUUUGUAUUCUCCAUUAGAAGUGUAAUAUGACUUAUCACUGCACCCAACACUUGUAGGUAUAAUAUUUAUUUUAAUUAAAUAAAUAUUAAUAAAUUUUUAAGUAAUUUAACUAUUUGAUUUCAUCAAAUAACAAAAGCCAUAAUGACAAGUUUUUUAUUCCAAUUAUCUAAUUUUAUUCUAGAAUUAAGUUUAUGGGUACAAAAUAAUAAGAUUUAAAAGAAUAAGAUAUUAAAGAAUAUAUCAUUUUCUGAUAAAAAUUUAAAAAUAUGUAAAAUAGUUAAUUUAAUUUUAUUAUUAGUUUUUAUGUUUAAUUUUGAAAAAAAAUUAUUGUAUUUUUAUGUGAAAUUUGUUAAUUUGUGUAAAUUAUAAUCAAAGUUUAGGACAAAUAUUGAUGGUUAAACAUGAUUUUAUGUAUAAGAAACUAUGUGUUCAAAUUUUGUUGGAAGUAAAAUUUAAGUAUUUUGGAAUUAGUUUAAUUUAGAUUUAGAUAUCUACAUCUAUAUUUGAAUCCAGAAAUAAAAAAUGCAGACUCAAAUAAUGAAUAUCGCUUGGAAUCUUUUUAUAUAUAUUCCGAGCAUGUACAAAAUAUAUAUGUUAAACAUAAUUGUCAAACAGAUUUCUUUUAAACUGAUAUUCAUAAACAUGCAUGCAUGGUAUAUAUUGAUAAAAAAAUGAUGAGAAGAACAAAUUUGAAACCUGAAGAUUUGUUCCAAUCUAACUGAGCAUUUCAAUAUAUUUACCUGAAUUUCGAAUACUGCAGAUGCAGUAGGAACUUGAACUUGGGUUACUCAGAGGAAACCAGCACUAAGACCGUCAUCAUCGGAGUUGCCACAGUGAAGAUGUUUGUAUCGGAAUCAAGCUUGCGUUCAAAUUUUAUUUACCAAUUAAACAAAAGUUCUCUUUGAUGUGCUUUUAUGGGAAUUAACAAACACUGAAAAUCAUGGUUGAGGGGUCUGAGAUGAUCAAUUUUGGAGCCGAAAAGGAGAAUGGGUGAAAGUGUGGAUCAAGCUGCAACUGUUAGAUAAAACCAGGAACAUGUCAAAAACAAAAGCAGCAAACGGGUUGUAAUAAUACUGUCUAUCUAUAUCUGUGUCUUGUUUAAUACACCUUGUAUGUGGUAAUUAAAAUAGUACGGC
rnacentral:lncRNA from 1 species